rnacentral:lncRNA from 7 species
AUUAGACUCUUCAAUCCUAACCCUACAGCCCUAAGUGAUUCCUUAACGCUGGAGAUGCAGGAAUUUGAUUUGUAUGCAAGUUGACCCUGCAAAGCAUUGCAGUGAAGCCAUCCUAUCCCAACAGAGUGGCAUUCAGGCUCUGUUUUCUGGUAAAGGCAUUUCAACAGGAGACCAAAAAUAACCCCGAGAAGUAGAGCUGAAAGCAGAUUCCUGUUCCCAGCCCUACAACCAAGAGCUGGGAAGAUUGGUUUUGAAGACUUCCCCAGAGAUGGAUUUUCCUGCCAUCCUGUAGUCGUUACUUUUUGAAGUCCCUGAGGUGGUUUCCAUCCUGUAGCAAGUCUGUUUCCCCAGGUGCAGGAUAAGGAUGAUAAAACCUGCAUGGAGGGAUGCUGCAAAUGCUCAUGUGGUCCCAGCAGGUCCCUGCUUAAAGCUUGGUGUUUGCUCUUGGGUUUGAGGUACUUGCUGAUGGAGUCACUUAAACAGCUUCUAAGUUUUGGUCCACAUCCACUCAAUGAAACCCUGGCCAGAAUCCAGCCAUGUGCUAGAAGCUCCGACACCAAAUAUUUCUGCAAAACAAGCCAGAAGCAAAGUCAGGGAAGGAGAAAGUGCAGACAAACUCCCACAGAGCAGCUGAGGAUCAACGCCAUGAUAUCUGUGCCAAAGACAUUGGAGGGACAUAUCUGGAAGAGCAACAGCAGGAACAUCUGCAGUGCUACGCACCCCAUCUGGGUCACUCACCUGUCCCCACAGCCCAUCUGCAGGGCAUGCAAAUCUUCCUCCACUUCUAAUUGCAAUUUGCAAACUCCUUUCGAAGUGUGCUGUUAGCUUCUAGAUGCUAGAUGCCGUUAGAUGUGCUGUUGCACACCUCCCACCCAUGCUGGACACCAACACUGGAAUACCACAGCAGAUGAUAUUCUCCAUUAAGAUACAAAAGAAAGAAGUCCAGAUAUGAGCUGAACUAAUGCAUUAUGUCACAGUCUGUUCUCUUCUCCUUUACUUUACUUUUUUUCCCCUUUCUUUUUUCCUUUCUCUGCUGGCUUUGCUUUCUGAUCCAGAGAAUAAAUAAGAUGGACUGGACUUUGUUACUUGGAAGGCCACCAAUUUCCAAACACAUGCCAAAUACCAGCUCUUCAUAACCUCACCAUAUGCUGCAGAGCUAAUUUUGACAGUUAUCAAAAAAGCUUAAACCCAGAAGAGCAGGAAGAGAUGCCCCACAUUCCUGUAGCUCAUGUAGCCAAACCUGGCACCCCAUCCUCUGGGACCCAUGAGGUCAUCCAAGUAGGGAAGUGCACAUCUGUAAUACAGCUGCACAGCUCAAAGCACAGCC